rnacentral:lncRNA from 1 species
CCUAUCUCCUGGCUAUGUAAAUAACUUGAUCUAUUAAAUUUUCAUUAAUUUUUUUAGGAAGAAAGAAGAUAGAUUUCAUGUUAUUGAAUUUGCACGGGAUAUGAAAAAUAUGAAAUUUAGUUGCUGAUUUGGAUGAUGGAACCAAACUCAAAGGAAUUUGAUCAGCUGGUGUCACAUACUUACUAUCUCUCAAGACAAACUGUAAUUGCUGUCUGUAAUUUGACUCUGAUUAUAACAAAAUAUAGAAG